UGCGUGUCCGGGGCCCCUCCGUGGCUUGGCACCAGCAGGCACGCAGCGAUCGCCGUCGUUGUUAUUUAGUAGUAGCAGUAACGGCUGACAUUUACAGCGACGUCAAUGGCGCCAGGUGCCAAGCUCUUUCCUUGUAUAAUUUCAUGGACACUCACGCAUCAACUCUAAGCGAAGACUUGGAGCGGGGCUCAGCACCCCAGGGGUACCUCUGCAACCUCGAAAUGAAGUUGAAAAUAGCACAGGAGCCCACUAUCAUUGUGUGAACAUUUUGUGAAUGAAGACAUGUACGAAAGGAUGUUUGGAGGCUUCAAGGAACGAAAGCCGAGAGUCUAGCUACACCAGAGCCAUCCAGCCCAGGAGCGAUGGCCACGUGUGGCCGCUGGACACGAGAGACGUAGCCGGUCCAAACUGCGCAGUGCGGGGCAGUGGAAGCCGUUGGAGGGCCUCAGGCAGGAACACAAGGUGUCGUGGCAGAAAGGAAGAAGGGGCCGGGCACAGUGGCCCACACCCAUCAUCGCAGCACUUUGGGAGGGAGGCCAAGGCAGGAGGAUCGCUUCAGCCCAGGAGUUCAAGAUCAGCCUGGGCAACACAGCAAGACCCCGUCUUUACUAAAACCCUAAAACUUAGCCAGGCUUGGUGGCAUGUGCCUAAAGUCCCAGGUCCUCGGGAGACUAAGGCAGGAGGAUUGCUUAAGCCCAAGAGUUUGAGGCUGCAGUGAACUAUGAUCACACCACUGCACUCAGCCUGGGUGACAGAGUGACUCUGUCUCAAAACUAA
rnacentral:lncRNA from 1 species